rnacentral:lncRNA from 1 species
CAAUAAUAUAAUUUUAGAUCCAAAAAUAAUUUUUAGAUUAUGUUUUAUUGCAUACAUUAGUCGUUUAUGAUCUUGAAAUAGUUUCAGAUCUAAACCUAAUAUCAUAUAUCAUAUAUAUAUAUAAUUUCAGAUCUAGACUAAAACAUGUAUCACAUAUACAUCAAAUUUUAUAUCUAAAACUAAAAAUAUAUAUAUCAAAUACAUAUAUAAUC